UAAUUUCUUAAAGCAAAUAUAGAUUUUUUGCAAAGUGCAAUUUAACUGGCACAGUAAAGUAUAACAGGAAUAGAAAGAGAAACUUGAUAAACAAGAAUAAUUUUUUCAUUACUUUCCAAUAUUGCUUAGGAUCUAUAAUACUAUUAAUCCCAAUUUUAUUUCCUAUGUUUUAUGGAUCACGUCUGCAGAAAGGUAGAUUCUCUAUGUGGAUAUUUGAACAAUAGAAAAAUGUAAUUUCUACACAGUGGAAUGAUGGAACAAGAUUCAAGUAGCCAACCCCAUAUAGUUGUGCCAAGACAUAGUUGAGUUGAGCUGAAUUUCUACAUUGGUCUUGUAUAUAUGGUAGCACACAAUCUUGAAUUGGUGAGGCAGACAAGAUUUACAUGGUUCAACUCAUGGUUUCAAAAAGGCUGCAGAGGCAAGGGGCGAGGCGGACCAAAAAGGCCUGGCCUUGGUAGCCUUUUCCCCAAUAGCUAAGGCUUAGGCCUUGAGAUGGUAGAGGCGUAAGCCUUUUUGUCUUCAGCCUCAGCAUCGUUGAGGCCUACGCUCCAAAUUUUAAGGUUGUCAAUGAUGAAUAAUUAUAUUUUUACAGGGGUAAAUUUGAGAUUAAAGAAAAAUAAACAAAUCCAAAAGCUUAGGGCACAUUUUUCUAUGUUACUUUUGAAUUAGAGUAGAAUUGUAGAAACUGAAGAGUCGGAGACGAGAGAAGAAACUGACUACUGUCAAUAGACUAGAAGAUGAACCAGUGUUAAGGGUGAGGCUGUACUAGUGCACCAAAAACAAUUAAGAAAGCAGCAAAGAUCGACAGAGUUAAGGGUCAGACUAAAACGAACCACUAGGUGACUCCCAAGCACACAUCUGUGUAGGCAUAUUGAACAUUUGUUACAGUUGUUUUGUCUAAACAAACAUGUUGACAUCAAUUACAUUUUCCUCCUAUUCACAGAAAAUGGUGUCAAUCUGUGGCAAGACCAAUUAGAAGAAGGCAAGUAUGUAAGUCCGCAUAGUCCUUCCAGUUUCUUACAAUUUCAUUUUGGCGACCAAAAUUUUCUUCACAUGAGCAAAAUGUAAGCACAUAAGGUCAAACUUAUUCCACCAUCAAUGAGUUCCGUAUGAGAAUUAAUCAGUUUUUUUCUCUUGCAAAUUUAGGUAUUAAUUCAAAUGUAAACUUCCACCGAGAAUUUCCGAUGCAGAUAUGGCUGUAUAGGCAGGUGCCUUGUGCACCAUUCUCCUUGGGACACAGGAGAUGACAUACCCGAAUUAGAUGCUUGAGCUCUGCAAUCAAGAAAUUUGAGGUUGGUGGCAUCUGGAUACCUCUUUGAAUUGG